GAGCGCAAUAAAAACUAAAUUAAAAAAUUUUAAAAAUUUGGCCACCACACGAAAUUCCAAUUUUCAGCUUGGCGAUGAACGUGUUAAGUCGAACAGGUAGAACAGAAAAUGACAAUGGCGUCGAAAUGACGUCAGGAAAUGACUACGGGCUUUUCGAAUUAAAUUCCAAUCGUUCGGCUUCGCUUCGAUAGUUGAAAGUCGCACGUCCGCUCGUGCGUACACACUCCGGCGAAUCAUGUUAAUCGCGUUAAUCUGUAUAGCAAAUAGGGAACCUCGCAUGAUGAAGCGACGUCGCUCAGCAUCGUUGUAAUUGUGACUAUAACGCGGCAAUUUGCACCGCAAUUUGCGGAGCCACUCGCGAGCGGCCUUGCUGAUUUUCCUUCACCCGAUUUUUAUCGCGGGUGAUCACGCUGGAGGAUCCAUCUGGAUUCCAGUGCUCAGACAACUUUCGCGAGCCUCCGCUCUUUUUUUCCCGAUCGCCAAGUGCACGCUCGAGUCUCCUUCGUCGAAGGGUUUUAGUCGCGAGUCGCGGCGGGAAAACGCUCUCGAUUGCUCGUUGACGCGAAGAAUCACCUCGUCCACUCGAACCCUUUGACCGGAAAGAAGAGAGAGGGAAGAAUAAAAAAUUCGCGUUGCGCGCCGGAUCGACGCAAUAUAAGAAUAGUGCGAAAGUGCGAGGAAGAAAAGGCGCGGAGGGAACUCCGUCAAGGAAGCGCCAUCGGGAAGGUUGCUGAGGGUUGCUGUUCGCGGAAGAACGACGAUGAUCGAGUUGCAAACCGACCGGCGAGUAGAAGAAGAAUGACCGGCAAGUACGUGUUAUCGUUUCGGGAUUGUUUUGCGAGAGAAAAAGAGAGAGAGAGAGAGGAGAGAGUUCGGCGAAUCCGUCAAUGGGUUCUCCCUUCGUGUCGACGCGCGAGUUCGAGCUUACAGCAAGAAGAGGAGCUCGUCGGCAUUCCGAGCGGAUCUCUCUCGAUACUCGAUUAAUAUUCUCGGUUUGCGUGACUUGCGUCACACAGCCGUGACCUUAAGGACGCCAAAGGACUGCAACGAGUGACGUCCGCGGCUCCCCGAUGCCAUUAAGAUUCCAGUCUUUCCCAAUGCAAUCCCUGCCGAGAAGCUUUCGAUCGCAUUCCGAAGUGACUUGACUUCGCGGCGUCGAAGAACACCACGUGGUGCAACGAAGUAUCUCGUCUCGCCGACUCUCUCAGUCACAUCAGGAGCAAGCUCGAGAGGUGGCCGCGUCGAGACGCGAAAGAGUGUCCCCGAUCGCACGAGGUUGUUAAUCGAUCGUCCGCGUGCGAAGAGCGAUGCGGCAGCCGCGAGUGUCGCAAUUAUCGCGCGUCCUCCCGAUUAUUGCGGUUGGAAACGAGCCCCACUUCGACAUGCCCAGCUGCAAAUGUCACGGACAAUCCGCGGGAGAGCUCUCAUACUGAAAAGUACCGCCGGCUGUGAUUAAUCGGUGACCGGUGAUGAAUUAUUGUUGCCUCGUCGCAGUUUUAUCACUUACACUUGAGUAACGAAAGAGCGACUGUCAUCAUUGAGCGAUACUAAUUGAUUACUGGCCCAAUUUGUCACUGCCGGUAGCGCUUUUCCGCCAAGGAAACCGCUCAUUGUUGCCGUCACGGACUACCUGCGUUAUACAGGAUGUCCCGAGAGGAAAGGUCAGUGUUCUAUCGGGCGUCAUCAUUUUAAGCAGAAAUCUUCAUACGAACGUGUGUCCCGUUUAACCUUGUUUCAGAGGUAUUGGUGAUUGAAAAUAACGCCUUUGAAGUGUACUUUCGAUACUGUUUUUCAAAUAUUGACCUUUCCUCGUGUCGUAUCUAAUCGAGAGGUGUUCUCCACUGUCAUCCUCUUCAUUUUGCGACCACCGAAAGGAUCAUAAUUCCUUAUAUCCCUUAUAAAGGGAUAUAAUAUUGAAGUUAUCUUGAAAUCGUACCCGAUUGCUGCUCUCUAUUACCGUUUUUUUUCAUUAUUCCGCCACAUAGAGCGAAAUCAAUUGGCUCGUAGAGUCGUUCUAAAAUUCCGUGGAUUGCGAUCGAUGUCAAGGUAUCCUUUCCACAGAAAUUUCAUCGAGAGGCUCUUGCGCAAGCUCGAAAGUAUGUGAAGAACGCAAAAACCACAAAGACUACGGCGCUCGAUCGCCGUCUACGUUCGAAGGAGGAGGAGAGGAAGAGGAGAGAGAGAGAGAGAGAGAGAGAGAUUCCAAGAGGAUUCGGGCGCGAGAUUCGUCUGUCGCGUGGCCGUCUCGGGAGCGAUCAAAAAUCGGCGCGCGAUGCUGAGAUCCUGCCCGACGACGAUCUUGCUUCUGGGCUGCGCCGCCGGGUCGAUCCUGCCGCCGGCCGUCCUCGAGACGAUACUCCACUUCUUCUCGGGAUUUCCGGCGAAGGACCCGCUGCAGGAGGUCGCCGAACAGCGCUACGACUUCGUGGUGAUCGGCGCCGGCUCGGCCGGCUCGGUGAUGGCGAACCGUCUCACCGAGAAUCCCGGCUGGAAGGUGUUGCUGCUCGAAGCCGGCGGGGACGAGAUGUUCCUCACGGACAUACCGUUCCUGGCGCCGAUCCUGCACGUGACGGACUACGGCAGGGUAUACAGGAGCGAGCCGAGGCCGCAGGACGCCGACGGCCGCGGCGGUUAUUGCCUGUCGAUGGUGGACGGCCGUUGCAACAUGAUGUCCGGCAAAGCGGUCGGCGGCACCUCCGUGGUGAACUUCAUGAUCUACUCGAGAGGCGCGCCGGCCGACUACGACGGCUGGCAGGCGCUCGGCAACCCCGGCUGGAGUUACAGGGACGUGCUGCCGUACUUCAUCAGGUCCGAGAAGUGCAGGCUGCUCGAUCGGGACGUCAGAUAUCACGGAUACGACGGAUACUUGGACGUCACGACUCCUCCUUACGCCACUCCUUUGAGGGACUGUUUCCUGAAGGCCGGCCGAGAACUCGGAUACGAUCUGGUGGAUUACAACAGCGAGAAGCUCAUAGGCUUCUCAAGCGUGCAGGUCAACAUGCGAAACGGGCGCAGAGUUAGCGCCAGCAAAGCUUUCCUCACGCCGAUUCGCGGACGGCCGAACUUCUAUCUGUCGAAGUUCUCGACCGUGACGAAAAUCAAGAUCGAUCCGAGAACGAAGGUAGCCGUAGGCGUUCAGUUCGUGAGAAAUAGCAAAACGUAUUACGUCUCCGCUACUAAAGAAGUCAUAGUCUGCGCAGGCACUUUAAAUUCGCCGCAGCUGUUGAUGCUCUCCGGGGUUGGGCCGAAGGACCAUCUGGCUUCCUUCGGCAUCGACGUGAUCGAGGAUCUUCCCGUGGGAUUUAACUUGCAGGAUCAUGUGAGCAUGGCGGCUCUGACGUUCCUAGUCAACGACAGCGUCACGGUCAUGGAGCCACGUAUAGGCAGCAAUCCGGCGAACUUUGUAGAGUAUCUGACGCACGGAACAGGCCCGUUGACGAUACCCGGCGGUGCAGAAGCGUUAGCGCUUAUUAAUACUAAGACCAGCGAUCCGAGAGUUACGCGAAGGGAAAAGUCAAAGUACGACUCGCGUCUGAACAACUCGCCGGAGAGCGGCGAACGACCCGGUGAGAGCACUUUGUUUCGGGAGAGACGCAGGGAUUCGUUAACGGAGGACGAUCACCCAGAUAUGGAGCUGGUGUUGGGCGUAAGCGCGUUAACCGGUGACGUCUCCGGAGGAUUUCGCGGUCUGCUCGGGUUAACGGAUGAAUUUUACAAAGAGGUGUUCGCUGGUUACGAGGGCUUCGACGCUUUUACAAUCGUGCCGGUGCUCCUACAGCCGAAAAGCCGCGGUAGACUCACCCUGAGAAGUUCCGAUCCGUUUCACUGGCCGGUUCUGGACGUCAAUUAUUAUGACCACGAGGACGAUCUGAACACGAUGGUGCGAGGUAUAAAGAAGGCGAUCGAGGUGGCGUCCACGCGGGCGAUGAAACGCUUCAACGCCACGCUGCUGCCGGUGUCGUUUCCGGGAUGCAAGCGCAUCUCUUUCAACAGCGACGCGUACUGGGCUUGCGUAGCGCGUCACGUGAGCACGACUCUGGGCCAUUUCGCCGGCACGUGUAAAAUGAGCACGAGGCAGGAUUCGGGCGUGGUGGAUCACAGGUUGCGAGUGCAUGGCAUCAACGGUCUCAGGGUCGUGGACACCAGCGUGAUGCCGACGAUAAUCGCCGGUCACACGAACGCACCGGCGUACAUGAUCGCCGAGAAAGCGAGCGACAUGAUCAAAGACGACUGGAAACGCCAGACGUGGCCGUACACGUCGAAAGUAUCGUAACUUGAAAACGCCCCAAAAUUGGAUGGGAACUUAAUUAAGAUUAAGAAAACGCCGGAUAUUUCUUCUCUCAGUGUGCACAAAUAUUUACCACUGUCGCUGAACUGAACGCAAUCCUGCAGCUCCUCCGUCAACGUGUA